rnacentral:lncRNA from 1 species
AAAAGUUCAAACGUGAUUUAUAAGAUCCUUAAUAUAAUAUAAUAGAGAUAGAGGUAUUGGGCUCCACAAACUUUCAACGUAAUUCAAACAAAUGUUGAGAAAUAAAAUGGGAUCCACGUGACAGAAAAGAUAACUUGAAAUUUGCGGUUAACCCAGAUCAGAGUAGAAUAUGGCUGCCUUUUUUUGUUCAAAAAUUCGAAGGUACAAUCAUAAGCUAAAAUUGUACAGUAUCUAUAAAACACCAGUGGUAAUAAAAUGUUGAAAAUACCCUUGCUAUAUAGAAUGACAAACAACACAUAUAUCGAUCAUCUAUGUAGAAGAAUGACAAAAACCACACAUAUCGAUCAUCAACUAUCUACUUCUUCACUCUUUUCAAUAGUUGCAAUACUUUCCUAAUGUUUCUUUUCUAUUUUAUUUUCAUGAGUAUUCUCCUAACAAGAUGUAUCUGUCAUUAACCAUUGUUCCUUAACAAAUUUCAGGGAAAACUAGAGUUUUGUCGAAAAGAUUUUGAGUAAUCAUAAAUUGUGAUAUUGAAAGGAUAUCACAAUAUCACAAAAAAAUAAAAUAAAAAAAAAUAGGGUAAAGCAAU